rnacentral:rRNA from 1 species
CUUGCUCCACCGGAAAAAGAGGAGUGGCGAACGGGUGAGUAACACGUGGGUAACCUGCCCAUCAGAAGGGGAUAACACUUGGAAACAGGUGCUAAUACCGUAUAACAAUCGAAACCGCAUGGUUUUGAUUUGAAAGGCGCUUUCGGGUGUCGCUGAUGGAUGGACCCGCGGUGCAUUAGCUAGUUGGUGAGGUAACGGCUCACCAAGGCCACGAUGCAUAGCCGACCUGAGAGGGUGAUCGGCCACAUUGGGACUGAGACACGGCCCAAACUCCUACGGGAGGCAGCAGUAGGGAAUCUUCGGCAAUGGACGAAAGUCUGACCGAGCAACGCCGCGUGAGUGAAGAAGGUUUUCGGAUCGUAAAACUCUGUUGUUAGAGAAGAACAAGGAUGAGAGUAACUGUUCAUCCCUUGACGGUAUCUAACCAGAAAGCCACGGCUAACUACGUGCCAGCAGCCGCGGUAAUACGUAGGUGGCAAGCGUUGUCCGGAUUUAUUGGGCGU